rnacentral:ribozyme from 1 species
CUCUUUAAUGGUUGAUAAACCUUAACAAACCUGUGGGGCUACUACCAAUUUCUCAAUACAUCCAUGGAUGUAUCAAUUGAUCUGACUGUAAAUCAGUUCAAGAUGAGAUAUCACACGCAUUACAGUGCGUAAUUGGAGUUAGUGCAGACUUAAAAAUCAGGU